rnacentral:lncRNA from 1 species
UUACAGUGCUGUGUGCAUACCUCUAAAACUGAUUUGAAGCUUUCUUUGUGACCCCAUGAUCUUAAGCUGUCUGUAUGCCACUAAGACCCUCAGCACAAGUUUGAGGAGGAGGAUGUCCCUGGGGGACUGCCACAGGAGCUGAGAACUUUGUCAUGUUCCAGCGACACUUUAGCAGUGCCCUGCUUCUCCUGGGAUCGAUACGGAAACCUCUGUGACAGCUUUACACCGAGAAUUCUGGAUCACUUGAAAAGUUGCAGUCUGAGUCAUAUUUAUAGGCCCAGCACUCUGCAGAAGCAAAAUCUGUAUGGCAGAAGAAGCAGAAAUUCAUGUGAAACAGUGAAAACCUCAGAAAACUGCAGGUUUGGUGUGUUCCAGGAAAUCACAGAUUGAAAGUUUGAAGCCCCAACUUACAUAGAAACAGAGAGAAAGAAGGAAGGGCUUUGCUGAGAGCUUAUGAUUCUCUCCACCCAAAGUGUACUGUGAAAUUAAAAAUAAACCAUCAGACUCUGUAAAUAUUUUAAAUUGU